ACACACAUCUAUGUCUCCUGGGUCCCUAACCUUUCUCUGAUUUGAUGUGGAAUUAGGACAAAGAUAACAUGAUCACAGAUUUCCCUAAAAAUGGAGUGUAGCAUCUUGCAAGGUAGAAUGUAAGCUCCCUGAAGACAAGGGAGUGAUACUUCUCCACCUGAUCCAAGUGGUCCAGCCUUCCCACAGACCCUGGUGAAUGGACACCUUCAUCUUCCUCUAGUCCCACUCUGAGUUACAGAAGCAGUGGAAACAUCACUUUGCAAGAGACUGAUGGCUCUCUAAUGAGAACUUAGAGCAAAUCACUCAGUUGUCAGUUCAGCAUCUGGCAGAGCUCAGCUCAUUUGCUGGUUGAUAACAGAGGGUGCAUGUUACAAUCAUACCAGGUUGUUUAAAUUACAACCUGGAGAUGGAUCCAUGUAUUCUGAUUUUUUGGAGAGAUGUGGAUGGACCUAGAGACUGUAAUACAGAGUGAAGGGAUCACCUCCUGCAUUGAAAGCGAGUUUUUUUUUUUACCACUGAGUCACCAGGGAAGACCCUAGAAGGUAUAGUGAAUACUAAUUAUGACAAAGCUCAGCUAGAUGGGAGCUGGAGUAUGGAGUUGGGGAAGAGAACAGAAAAGCAAAACAAAAUAAGCAAACAAAAUGAUGGAGACAGCAGACAAACAGGGCCAUGCAGCCUGCAGAAUCUUAGCUCCCUGACCAGGGAUAGAACCCAUACACCUGGCAGUGGAAGCACAAAAUCUUAACUGGAAGAUCACCAGGGAAGUACCCAGAAUGAGUCAUUUUAAAUCGAAAACAGAUAAACUGUUCUCGACCCAUCCCCCUGAUUUAUUUAUCAAAAGAAAAAAAAAAAAAAGAUCCCUUUAAAAAAGUGUGUGGAAUAAAAGGUAUGCGGAACUGAAAUUUAUGAUUUAUAGAAACCAAAAAA
ensembl:lncRNA